AUGCCCACGGUGGGCGCGCGCGCGCGUGUGCCCUGCGGUCUGAUCGCCAGCGUCAACCCUUGAUGCGGGCGGUGGGAGAGGGGCGCUCAACGCCCAAGGCCAGUCUUUCGGCCUCACCUCCGAGAGCGUAACGGGUAGCUGGACGGUCGAGGAGUCCAUCCCUCUAGUUUCUAGAAGGCCACUCUCACUCCCAGUCAAAAAAGUCCCCGUGGCCUGGCCUUAGAAGUCUCUCGCUCAGGUUUCCCACAGUUACUUUAGCCGUGACCAGCAGGAGCCGGCCGAGGGGUCUAGAAGGGAAGGUAGUAAGUGGCAGGGUACAGAUUGCCACCCACACUACCAACUAUAUUCUAUUGUCUCUUGAGACCCGUGUGGGAAACUAGCUACUGGAAGUGGGAUUGAUUUUGGAAAACAGCCUAAAGGCGGAUUCUUUACCAGCUGAGCCACAAGGGAAGCCCAAGAAUACUGGAGUGAGUAGCCUA